GAUGAACGCUGGCGGCGUGCCUAAUACAUGCAAGUCGAGCGAACAGACGAGGAGCUUGCUCCUCUGACGUUAGCGGCGGACGGGUGAGUAACACGUGGAUAACCUACCUAUAAGACUGGGAUAACUUCGGGAAACCGGAGCUAAUACCGGAUAAUAUAUUGAACCGCAUGGUUCAAUAGUGAAAGACGGUUUUGCUGUCACUUAUAGAUGGAUCCGCGCCGCAUUAGCUAGUUGGUAAGGUAACGGCUUACCAAGGCAACGAUGCGUAGCCGACCUGAGAGGGUGAUAGGCCACACUGGAACUGAGACACGGUCAAGACGCCUACGGGAGGCAGCAGUAGGGAAUCUUCCGCAAUGGGCGAAAGCCUGACGGAGCAACGCCGCGUGAGUGAUGAAGGUCUUCGGAUCGUAAAACUCUGUUAUUAGGGAAGAACAAAUGUGUAAGUAACUAUGCACGGCUUGACGGUACCUAAUCAGAAAGCCACGGCUAACUACGUG
rnacentral:rRNA from 1 species